rnacentral:rRNA from 1 species
UACGAAGGAUCCAAGCGUUAUCCGGAUUUAUUGGGUUUAAAGGGUGCGUAGGUGGGUUGGUAAGUCAGUGGUGAAAUCCCCGAGCUUAACUUGGGAACUGCCAUUGAUACUAUCAAUCUUGAAUACCGUGGAGGUCGGCGGAAUAUGUCAUGUAGCGGUGAAAUGCUUAGAUAUGACAUAGAACACCAAUUGCGAAGGCAGCUGACUACGCGAGUAUUGACACUGAGGCACGAAAGCGUGGGGGUCAAACAGG